GGGAAUGUGGCUUAGUGGUAGAGUGCUUGCCUAGCACGCAUGAAGCCCUGAAGUCCAUUCCUC
rnacentral:tRNA from 1 species